rnacentral:rRNA from 1 species
GACGAACGCUGGCGGCGUGCUUAACACAUGCAAGUCGAACGGUUAAGCGCCUUCCUUUUUGGUGGGUGUGGAUGAGUGGCGAACGGGUGAGUAACACGUGAGUAACCUGCCCCCUUCUUCUGGAUAACCGCAUGAAAGUGUGGCUAAUACGGGAUAUUCUGGGUCUGUCGCAUGAUGGGUCUGGGAAAGAUAUUGUUUCUGUGGGGGAUGGGCUCGCGGCCUAUCAGCUUGUUGGUGGGGUGAUGGCCUACCAAGGCGGUGACGGGUAGCCGGCCUGAGAGGGUGGACGGUCACACUGGGAAUGAGACACGGCCCAGACUCCUACGGGAGGCAGCAGUGGGGAAUAUUGAACAAUGGGCGCAAGCCUGAUGCAGCGACGCCGCGUGAGGGAUGGAGGCCUUCGGGUUGUGAACCUCUUUCGCCAGUGAAGCAGGCCUGCCUCGUUUGUGGGUGGGUUGACGGUAGCUGGAUAAGAAGCGCCGGCUAACUACGUG